CACUGACGGACCAGGGAGGGGUCCGCGCCGAGACCCGCCUCCGAACCAGGCCCCACCUCCUGAGCCAGGCCCCCGCCCCCGAUUCUGACUCCGCCCUCUCUGUCCUUCGGUGGAGACUCCGGGAAAAACCUGCCUCCCAGUCUGCCCUCUCUCCGUCUGUCUGUGCUUGUUUUUCUACGUUUAUCCCUGUCGCUUUCCCCACUUAUUCUGCAGGCAUGGCGCGCCCCCAGUGCCGGCUUGGUGCCAGGGCUGGGAGAUCCGGGGGUGAAUCGUGAGCCCGGCCCACAGCGAGCUUGCAGUCUAGAGAUCAAGGCAGUCUUGUCCACAACCUGCUGUCACAUAAAGCAAAUGUAGCUGGUGUAGCACCAGGGGCUGCAAUCAAGUGCGGUGGGGCGGCAAUAGUGACCACGGAAAUAAUCAGAAUUGCUUUUAAUUCAGCUCCUACUAUAUUCCCGCAUCCCUGAGCCUCACAAUCAUCCUCCAAGGUAGGUAUUUUUGUCUUUCUCUAACAGAUGAAAACUCUGAGUUUCAGAAGAAUUAAAUGACAUCCCCCCAAAAGAGAGACAGUAUAAGAAUCCAAGUCAACCUGAGUCCAAAACCAGUGGCCCUUAACACUGUGUGGCUUUAUGGAGGACAUGGAGUUUAAGUUUACCUUCAAGGAUGAGCAACACUUUUCUUCAAGCAGAAAAAGAAGGGAAUGGGUGAACACGGUCCCAGGAUGUUCGCUUUGGCAGAUGAUUAGAAUACGUGCUGACUUGAUAGCCACAACUGUCCUGAUAAGAAAGUACGCCGGCCUGGCUGGGCAUGGUGGCUCACGCCUGUAAUCCGAGGAUUUUGGGAGGCCCAGGCGGGCGGAUCACUUGAUGUCAGGAGUUCGAGACCAGCCUGUCCAACAUGGUGAAACCCCGUCUGUACUAAAAAUACAAUAAUUAGCCGAGCAUGAUGGCAUGUGCCUGUAAUCCCAGCUACUCGGGAGGCUGAGGCACGAGAAUCGCUUGAACCUGGAAGGCAGAGGUUGCAGUUACUUUCCCGACAUUGCACCACUGCACUCCAGCCUUGGCGACAAGAGCGAAAUUUUGUCUCAAAAAAGAAAGAAAGAAAGCACUCAGGCCUGACCCAGGACCACAGCAGUGGACAUGGAGGGAGGAGGCUGGGGGUAGUUGGAUUGGUAUGAUAUGUCACUGAGUAAACGAAGGAAGGGACAGAAAGAGAACUCCAAAGUGUCAAAAGCCUGGACAACAGAGAGAAAGCAUCCUUGUCCUAUCAUUUAAAGCACCUGUUGGGCCAAAUAGGGAGCACCUUUCAGAAUCCAUGUGCACAAGAUCUCAGCAAUUCUACGUCCAAGAAUGUAACCUACAUCCAAGAAUGUACUGGAAUUUAAUUCCACAUCCAAGAAUCCCCAUAGGUAGCAAAGAUGUAUAUUUAAGGGUAUUCUCUCAGCUUUGUUUUUAUGUUAGGAGAUUGGGAACAACCUAAAUGCCCAUCAGCUGGUGACUGGCUAGGUUAACUAUUCACAAAUGGAAUACUAGGUAGCCUCCUAAAAGAGGAAAGCAAUUCUACAUAUCCUGAUACAGUGUGGUCACCAGAUAGAUGGCUAAGAUACAAAUAAAACAAACAAGUUGCAGUGUUAGAGUAUGCUAUGUAUCACUCCUUUUUAAGGACAAAAAGAGGAUAUACUUUAACUUUUUAAGAUACCAAAGUAUUUAUUUAUUUAAAAUUUUUUUCACAGAAUUGUUAUAGCAUGUAGAACCAAAAAUUAUUUACAAAUGAAAUUAUUCAAUGUCUGAGAUUUGUGUCAAAAUAAUGGUAUGGGGGUUUAGUGAGUAAGCAUGUAGGUAGAACAAGAUUGUCCAUGAGCUGAUAGUUGUUGAAGCUGGGUGAUCACCUGGGUGUUUUAUACUAUUUGGGUGUUAAACUAUUUUUUUUUCUAUUCUUGUGUAUGUGUCAAAUUUCCACUUAAGAAAAUGGGGGAAAAUGGUGUCAGCCCUCCAUUCCAGCUGAACACACCAUGUUAGUUCAUGCCCCAUCACACCACUCUUCUAGCCAUCUGUCAAUCUUCUCUGCCUGGCAAAUUUCUACUCUUUCAUCAGGACCCAGGAUAAUUAUCACCUUCUCUGAGAGGGCUUUUCCAACCCCUAUAGUCAGAAUCAUUCCUUCUCUAUGCUUGGGGCCCCCUGAGAAAUGUCUCUAAUCCUGUCACAAAUACAUAUUCCAGUGUCAUUAUCCAUCUCCCUAGUAGACAGUGAACAUUUCCAUCAAUGAGACAAUGUCUCAACUAUCUUCUUUCUGUCUCAACCCUUAACCCUGGCACUUAAUACUUGUUUGUUAAAUUCAUGGGUCAGGUCUAGUGAAGACAAUGAUUAGUUGUUUGGUUUGAUACAUACUGACCUUGAGAAGUCAAAGGGAUAUAGGAGGAGAGAAAGUGAAUGAGGAACUGAUGUUACUGAGCCUGUGCUAGGAGACUGCUGGGGCAAGGAAUAGAGUGAGGAGAAAGGAGGCAAGGCUCCUGCUGGCAAGGACCUCACUUUCAUUUCAGCUGGGGAAGAGCAUGGAAAGAUGUCAUUCUAGAGCAUGGUAAGUGCCAUGGAUGAAAUAGACAAGGCAAAACUUAUUCCACUUCAGCAAAGCGAGUGUCAAUAUUCUACUUAUGGAUGAGUGGAUGAACACAUGUUCAGAUGAAAUCACUUGUGCAAAGUUUACAGCUGUUAGUGCUGAACAGGAACAAGCCUUUGUCUGCCAUCAUGUGCGGCCAUGCUUUUUCCUCUGCCCUUCACUGCCAUUCGACAUGCAGGUGACACUCUGGAGCUCGGACCGAACAUUCAGAUUUGGAGGUCAUUCUACAGGAGAUAGUUGAAAUGAGGGGAGGGGAGAAGGUCUCCUAGAAACCACAAGAGAGGGAAAGUAACAGCAGCUGACUUUCAUUGAGUACUUAGUACACUCCAGACCCCAUACUAAGCAUUUUUUUUUUUGAGAUGGAGUCUCGCUCUGUUGCCCUGGCUGGAGUGCAGUGGUGCAAUCUCGGCUCACUGCAACCUCCUCCUCUUGGGUUCAAGCGAUUCUCCUGCCUCAGCCUCCCAAGUAGCUGGGACUACAGGUGUGUGCCACCACGCCCAGCUAAUUUUUUGUAUUUUUAGUAGAGCCAGCAUUUCAUCGUGUUAGUCAGGAUGGUCUUGAUCUCCUGACCUCAUGAUCUGCCCGCCUCAGUCUCCCAAAGUGCUGGGAUUACAGGCGUGAGCCACCGCACCUGGCCCAUACUAAGCCUUUUACACUUUUAAAAGUAAAAGUGAAAUCACUUUGCACAAGUGAUUUCAUCUGAACAUGUGUUCCUCCACUCAUCCAUAAGUAGAAUAUUGACACUUGCUUUGCUGAAGUGGAAUAAGUUUUGCCUUGUCAAUUUGUUUAUUUAUUUAUUUAUUUAUUUAUUUAUUUAUUUAUUCUAUUAUAUAUUUAUUUAUUCCAUAUAACAACCCUCAUUAAGUAGGAACUCUUUUUUGAGGGACAGGGUAUUACUGUGUUGCCCAGGCUAGUCUUGAACUUCUGGCCUGUGGUGUUCCUCCUGCCUUGGCCCCACAGAGUGCUGAGAUUACAGGCUUCAGCCACCAUGCCCGGUCUAAAGUAGGAACUCUUAACAGUCCCACAUUUAUAGCCUGGGAAAAUGAAGCUUAGGAAGAAUGAAGUCAACAGAGCAACAGAGGUCACACACCUCGCAAACAGCAGAGCCCAAAUGUCUUACCAUGCACUACCCUUUUGAGAAAGAAGACUGAAAUCAGGAGCCUGGUAAGGAAAUGGUGGAAACAGUGAAAGAGAACAAGAUGCACUGUUUCAUUUGUGAGAUGAGAAACAGAAAAAAAGAAAUGUCCUGAGAGCCCAAGAAAGACUGUUAGGAAAGGAACUGGGGCAAGUGUCAGAGUCCAUGGAGAAACCCAGCAGGGAAACCUGAGGGUCAUGGCAAUUGGCCAACACGAGGCGAUAAGGGACCUUUGAUGGAGCUAUUUUUGGUGGUGCUAACCUUCUUUGCUACAGGCUCACAACUGGAGCAUCUGCUUGCUUCCUCUGACCUGCCCCCUGGACUCAUGUUGUCAUUCUUCUCGCUCAACCUGUCUGCCUAGGGAAGAAGCCCUGGACUGUGUUUCCCCAAUCUCAGUAUUCCCAACCCUCCUGGCCCCCAACCCAGUACCUGCAGAGCUGACUCUAACCACCCAGUGCACCUCCCGCAGGCUGCAGCAGCCCCCAUCGAGGCCACUCAUUUACAGCACAGGCCCACACAGUCUGACAAAGGACAGCUGCAAUCCUCUGUCAACUGCAGUCCUUUCCCAGGCACAUGCUGGAUUGGGAAACAGGUGGGAGAAAAGAACAGGUAAGACGUUCCUGUGGGAGUGAGUUAGCCUGGCAUUUACUGUGCCUCUUUGUGAAGAGCAGCCAACCUUUUCUGGCUUAAUCAGACUUGCCUAGAGCACUUGAAAAGAAUAGCUCUGAAGUCCAUGUGAUUUUGCUUCCCCACCCCCACCCCAACCAUGACUGAUUGGAACUGGAUAGAUGUCUUCCUCAGGAGGAGGAGCCAAGGGCUGUUUCCUGUCCCUGGACUUUGGAAUUGGGCCACCUAGUCAGUGAGUGGCCAAGAACCCAAUGAGGCUGCCCCAUGAAGGGAGCUGAGCUCAGUCAAAGAGAUUCAUGGCAGAGCACUAGGGUUAAUAAAGGCCCACGAACUCUUGUUGCUGAAGGCUCUAGGGCUGCCCCAUCCCUGCCCUUCCUGAGAUUUGGUGGAUCACCUCUUCCUGGGUUUCCACAAGUCCUCUCUCUCUCUCUCAAUAACCUAUUAAAUUGGGGUGUGAGUGGAUUCCUGUCCCUUGCAUCCAAAGUCUCCUUGGCUAUAAUGGAGUUCUAUAGGAAUGAGAGCAAGGGGCAGGAGCCCAAGGGUAGGAGGUUCUAAGUUUAGGACUUUAGAAAUAACAUUGUUAAGUGUGUUGAUGUCUAAGUCAGAAUGGAGGUGAUUCCCUCAAGUUUCUAAGCAUCAUCCAUUCCAUUCUGUCCAACAGACAUUUAUCAAGCACCUACUCUGUGCCUAGCAUUGUGCUAGGUGCUAGAGAGCCAAAAAUAAAUAGCAGCUGCUCUUGUGGAGGUCACAGUCUUGGAGGAGUUAAAGACACGGAAACAAAUUACAACACAGCGUAACAGCAGUGACAGAAGCACGUAUGAUAUGGUUUGACUGUGGCCCCACCAAAUCUCAUCCUGAAUUGUAGUUCCCAUAAUCCCCACUUGUGGUGGGAGGGGCCCAGUCGGAGGUAAUUGAAUCAUAAGGGUAGUUUCCCCCAUGUUAUUCUCGUGAUAGUGAGUUCUCAUGAGAUCUGAUGGUUUUAUAAGGGGCUUCCCCCUUCACUCAGCUCUCAUUCUUCUCUCUCCUGCCACCAUGUAAAGAAGGAUGUGUUUGGUUUCCCUUCCAUCACGAUUGUAAGUUUCCUGAGGCCUCCUCAGCCAUGUGGAACUGUGAGUCAAUUAAAUCUCUUUCCUUUAUAAAUUACCCAGUCUUGGGUAUUUCUUCAUAGCAGCCUGAGAAGGGACUAAUACAACAUACGAAGUUGGCAGCAAAGUGAGUGGUGGAAAGGAGAGUCAUGGAAAAGCAAACAAGGGAGGGUUAUAACUACAGCUUGGCAUCCUCCACUAAUGUUGUAAGGUCCUGGAGCAUUUUGGCAAUGGUGCUAAAAUGAGGAUGUAAGGACAAAAUCCCCUAGAUUUUCGACAGGUGAGCUUGUGAGGUGUUGGGACCACCUGGAAGAUGUGAUAAGAAGUGACAAAGGGGCAGGGUGUAGUGGCUCACACCUAUAAUCCCAGCACUUUGGGAGGCCAAGGCAGGCAGAUCUCCGGAGUUCAGGAGUUUGAGACCAGCCUGGCCAACAUGGUGAAACCCUGUCUCUACUAAAAAUACAAAAAUUAGCUGGGCAUGGUGGCAUGUGCCUGCAAGCCCAGCUACUCGGGAGGCUGAGGCAGAAUAGCUUGAACCCAUGAGGUGGAGGUUGCAGUGAACUGAGAUCAGGUCACUGCACUCCAGCUGGGCAACAGAGCAAGACUCCAUCUCAAAAAAAAAAAAAAGUGACAAAGGAGCCAACUUCUCUCUUUUCCAGGAAGUCUGGGAAAUGGGCUAUUGGCCUCCAAAGAUAAUGGAGACAAUAGUAAUGAAGGUGUCUGGGAGAAAAGUCUAAGGCACAGAAGGUUAGGCACCCUCAUGGAAACAGACUAUGGCUAGGGUGGAGGGCAAGUCUUUACUCACAACUGAACAUGGUUCCAUGGGGCUCAGAAAAUAACAAAGAGUGUUCAUUUAAUAAAUGUUUCCUGAAAGCAGACUAUAUGGUAAGCACAUGGCUCCUGCCUUGCAGAGCAGUCUAGUGGAGAAGACAGAUAUUUAUCAAAUAAUCAGGCAAAUAAAAUAAAAAAAACAGGCUGGGUGCGGUGGCUCACGCCUGUAAUCCCAGCACUUUGGGAGACCGAAGCAGGCAGAUCACUUGAGGUCAGGAGUUUGAC
rnacentral:lncRNA from 1 species